UACGGAGGGUGCAAGCGUUGUUCGGAAUAAUUGGGCGUAAAGGGCAGGUAGGUGGUUUUGCAUGUCUGAAGUGAAAGCCUUGGGCUUAACCCAAGAAAUGCUUUAGAAACUGCAAGACUUGAGUACUGGAGAGGCGAGUGGAAUUCCCGGUGGAGUGGUGAAAUACGUAGAGAUCGGGAGGAACACCAGAGGCGAAGGCGACUCGCUAGACAGUAACUGACACUCAACUGCGAAAGCGUGGGGAGCAAACAGG
rnacentral:rRNA from 1 species